GCUGCCGCCUCACAGCCGCCUCACGCUAUUUACGGAACCAGGUCAUCUCCAGAGACCUGAACAUCGAGAGCCUAGACGAUCACAUUCGCCGCCUGACAAUGUACGCACGCGCCGACGGAGCGCAAUCCCAACACCUGCGAGGGAUCGCGCCAUACCAUCGACGACCACCGGACGCACGAGGCCUGCCACGAGACCUGAUCUCAUGAACCCCUCAGACACGACCGCUCCCUCGCUGCUGGUUGACAGGCGCACUCCAGAACACAUCUGGAUGACUCGACCUCGCCGAGCAGUGAGAGAAGCUCCACACAGAAGACCAUCUUGCCGCAGCUCCGCAGAUCGCCGGCGACCUGCGCAGGCUCGAUCGCAGCGCGGCGUAACACACCGAAUAUGACACAUCCAUUCUGGCACCAUGGACCGCGAUAGUGGUCCCACCCAGUGACCCGCCUGUAGUCGCAGGCGGCGUUUGCAACCACCGUAAGAGCCCGUAACCCCGAGACCCGUGAGGGUCUGCGUGGAUGAUCUCUCGUCGAUGUUUCAUUGUUGUAAUCGUUUUCGUCGUGUAAAGAGCUCCCUAAAAUUGCCGGUUUGUGUAGUUGAAUGGCAUAGAAAACGGCCAAAAUCUUAUGGUUUAGUAAAAAAUGAAGUAACGUUUCAUUUGUAAGUAUUUCUACCGUAAUUUUAUAAAAUUUGCAAUAAAAACAAUUUCUAAAAAGAAUCGAUUGUUUUGACAGAACAGCAAAAAUCGAUCAAGUAAUCGAAUAUUCUAUGUAUUCUUAGCAGAAAGUUCAAAAGUGGAUUUAAAAAAUUAAAAGAAAACCAAUGUUGAACAACCGUUUCACAACAUUUGUCAGGACAACUUAAUUAAUAAAUCAAACUGUAACCAAAAUAAGACCCUAGAAUGGCAGAGAAUGCCUUGAGUGAAGUCACGCACUUGUGAACGCUGUGUGUAGGGUUAAAGGAUCCUUUGACAGUCGACAAACAAUCCCCUUUUCCACUCAAGUCACUUUCCCAACCUAUCCCAAGUAACCCAUAAAGAAUUUACACAACAAGAAAUGUGGACGGCUAGAACGCCUCGCCAAGGCUACUAAUUGUUACAGUUUAUAUUCUGUGGAUAGUCUAAGCGAUGUGUUGGUUAGUCUGUGUAAAAAUUGCGACGGCUUCGCGUCAGUAUCGAUGCUAAGCGUACAUUAGUUUCAACGAAGUUCUACAAAAUCAUUUGGUCUGUGUCCAACGUUUUCGUGUAUGUAGUUUCAGUUUCGUGUAUGUAGUUUGAUUUGGUCUUUGUCUUUGACAUUGACAAUUGAAAAUUGAUUAUUUCAUAAUUUUUUGAGGUUAUUGUUUUGGUUUGGAUUUGAAUUCGAAUAUUAAUUUUAAAAUUAAAAAGAGUUAUUAUCAUAUUACUAGUAGAUUAUGUAACAAAAGUUAUUUAAUUCCAAAGCAAUUGAGGAUAUAAGUUCUGUAAUCGAUUGGACAUAGCCAAUAUGCAGCGUAUAAUUUCAGCAACUAAAGCCCUUCUAGGUUCACAUAUUAUUCCUAAAAGCUAUGAUGUAUUCACUGCCAAUUUUAGUAUGUUCCAAAGAGAAACGAAAAAUAAACUAUUGCCUGUUUGUUUACCAAUAAUGAAUUCCGUCUCUGGUUUCAAAGUAAGAGGUCGAGUAAAUCGUCGUUGCAAAUCCUGCUAUUUUGUAACUAGACAAGAGCGAUUGUAUGUCAUAUGUCCUGCACACCCUCGGCACAAGCAAAUGGCUAUGAAACCUAAACCACACAAUACUUGGAUAUUAACCCAUGCCAGUCAAAGUAAAAUUAGACCCUGGUAACAGAAAUAGUUAUAGAAAACUUAAUUGGAUACAUAGAUGUUAGUGACAUACAAUAAAUAAUUUACAAGA